CCUACGGGUGGCAGCAGUAGGGAAUAUUGCUCAAUGGGGGAAACCCUGAAGCAGCAACGCCGCGUGGAGGAUGAAGGUUUUCGGAUUGUAAACUUCUUUUGUUAGAGAAGAUAAUGACGGUAUCUAACGAAUAAGCAAAGGCUAACUCCGUGACAGCAGCCGCGGUAAUACGGAGGGUGCAAGCGUUACUCGGAAUCACUGGGCGUAAAGAGCACGUAGGCGGGAUAGCAAGUCAGAUGUGAAAUCCUAUGGCUUAACCUUAGAACUGCAUUUGAAACUGUUAUUCUAGAGUAUGGUAGAGGUAGGUGGAAUUCUUGGUGUAGGGGUAAAAUGCGUAGAGAUCAAGAGGAAUACUGAUUGCGAAGGCGACCUGCUAGGACAUAACUGACGCUGAUGCGCGAAAGCGUGGGGAGCAAACAGGAUUAGAUACCCGAGUAGUC
rnacentral:rRNA from 1 species